UGGGCUGCGACGACCGGUGGACGAAGUACUGCAAAGCGCCCGAACUUAGCCAGUCAUCGGUCGCCAGCAUUCAAUGCACAAGCGCCACCGGAUCCCAUUAAAGAGCCCCAACUCGAGAAUACAUACAAUUUCCGCGUGUAUUUGUUUCGAAAAAGGAACAAAAAUGUGGUUCCGCCUCCAAAAUCGAAAGACGAACAUCAGCUUGAACUGGAGCUGAUGGAGCAUAUGGGACUCAUUCGGUUAAUUGAAUUUGAUAAGCUAACGCAAGAUCACAUCAUGCAGAGCAUUUCUCAGCUUUUUGUGGAUCGUCUGCAAGGCCGGCCUUGGACACUUUUGUCGCGCACUGAAAAGGGGAAAAAGAAAGGAUACUGGCUGUACGCGGCAAAUGUUGUUGAUCACCGGGCGUGGGAAAAGCAAGAAAUGAUUUCUGAAACGGAGGUUGGCGAUGUUUAUCGUCACAUUUUCAUUGCAAUGAAUGACGGGGUCAUCACGGUAGCGC